AUUAGCUUAGCUGGUUAGAGUGUUGUGCUAAUAAUGCGAAGGUCGUAGGUUCGAGACCUACAU
rnacentral:tRNA from 1 species